UACAGAGGUGGCAAGCGUUGUUCGGAAUUACUGGGCGUAAAGGGCGAGUAGGUGGCCAUCUAAGUCAGACGUGAAAUCCCCCGGCUUAACCUGGGAACUGCGUCUGAUACUGGACGGCUUGAGUAUGGGAGAGGAACGUAGAAUUCCAGGUGUAGCGGUGAAAUGCGUAGAUAUCUGGAAGAACACCAGUGGCGAAGGCGGUCAACUGGCCCGUAACUGACGCUGAGGCACGAAAGCGUGGGGAGCGAACAGG
rnacentral:rRNA from 1 species